GCCAGGAUGGCAUAAUGGUUUGAGCAUUGGAUUGCAACUCUGGAGACCAGGUUUCAAUUCCUUGCUCUGCCA